ACGACAUAAUAUUUAUGGUAUUUUUAAUGUUGUGUUUCUGUCUCAAAAGUUGCAAGCAAUUUGGGGACGGAGUCGCUUCUGACCAGACUCAAGACCCGGUUCCAGACCACGUGGUGGCGCCUGACAAGGGGAAGGGAGACUCGGGUCCAGACCAUGAAGAAAUCCAGCUCAGGAUAUGGAGGCGGCACGUGCGGUGGGGACGAGGACAAGACACCACGCAGGGAGAAGCUGCAGAAGAGAGUGCAGAGAUUCAUCUCCCGGGUGUUCAUUUGUGGAGGACUAUCACAGGCCUAGACACCAUCGGUGUCAGGCCCAGACACAGUGCAUGUGUCUGUCAGGCCCAGACACAGUGUUUGUGU